CACUGGUGGAUUCCCAAUCCCAUUCAAAUCCUUUUCUUUAUUCGCUUUUCAGUCUUAUUGUCCACAGCCCUUGUCAUGGAGAACAUUCUCUACACAUGUCAAGAGGGUACAAUCACACUUGAAGCACCAUUUGGAGCAAUGGAUCCCCAUUGUGAACAGAGCUGGACCACUGGCAAAAAGCCCAUUGCCUACUACAAAAAUGGCAAAGGUGAAUGCAGUUUUCCAUGCAAGCACGUGUUCUCUGGCAAAGUCAUCCUCCGUGAAUGUCCCGAUGUCAUAUUAACUACUGGUUGCACCACCAAAGAUGGGGUAUAUGAAGAGACCAGGCUACACUUCUCAGUGAUAACCAGACCAACUGUCUCUAUGACAACCACUAACACUGCAAACAAGCAAUUCUAUGGUAAAGUAUGAUU